GGCCCGACCCACAGCAAGAAGAAAUUCCAGCGUUGCCUUUUCCCGGUUCCUGGGGUCAGCCGGUUUCCAAUUCACAGUGACCCGUAGACGAACAGGCAGCCACAGAGAAGAGCUGAUCCCACUCUCUGCUCAGUACAGCUCCUAAAACGCAGUGGGAGAAGAGACCGGAUAUAUAAGAAGGCGAAUCUUGAAGCCAGUGGACAGGAGCCUUUUUUCUGCGGCGGAGAUGGAUAACCCUCGGGGGCUUCGGAGGAUUGGAACGAAGCGUUCGGAGAGCCGUUUAGAAAGGUAAUUACCUCAACUCCCCAUUUCAUCUGGCCAGUACCUACCUACGCAAGCUUCAGAGAAGCAUCAUUAAGACGUGUGAGAAACAGCUCUUCGGAGAAGUCAAUUGCUUCCAAAACCAGGGAGAACAGACGUUACUGACUCGUCGACACAAAAAUGUAAAUAUAAACCUCUAGAGAAGGUCUAAAUGAACUCCAGAUGCAAAUGAGAAACAUGCUGCUGAGAAAUGUUUUACUAAUCAGU